GACGAACGCUGGCGGCGUGCUUAACACAUGCAAGUCGAACGGAAAGGCCCUGCUUUUGUGGGGUGCUCGAGUGGCGAACGGGUGAGUAACACGUGAGUAACCUGCCCUUGACUUUGGGAUAACUUCAGGAAACUGGGGCUAAUACCGGAUAGGAGCUCCUGCUGCAUGGUGGGGGUUGGAAAGUUUCGGCGGUUGGGGGUGGACUCGCGGCUUAUCAGCUUGUUGGUGGGGUAGUGGCUUACCAAGGCUUUGACGGGUAGCCGGCCUGAGAGGGUGACCGGGCACAUUGGGACUGAGAUACGGACCAGACGCGUACGGGAGGCAGCGGGGGGGAAUCUUGCACAGUGGGCGGAAGCCUGAUGAAGCGACGCCGCGUGCGGGAUGACGGCCUUCGGGUUGUAAACCGCUUUCGCCUGUGACGAAGCGUGAGUGACGGUAAUGGGUAAAGAAGCACCGGCUAACUACGUG
rnacentral:rRNA from 1 species